AUCCCAUAGCAUAAGCUAGUAAGACCCCUUAAAGACGAUAAGGUUGAUAGGUGGGAGGUGGAAGCGUAGUAAUACGUGCAGCUGACCCAUACUAAUAGGUCGAGGGCUUAACCAA
rnacentral:rRNA from 1 species